rnacentral:rRNA from 1 species
UGGGGAAUCUUGGACAAUGGGGGCAACCCUGAUCCAGCCAUGCCGCGUGAGUGAUGAAGGCCUUAGGGUCGUAAAGCUCUUUCGCCUGUGAAGAUAAUGACGGUAGCAGGUAAAGAAACCCCGGCUAACUCCGUGCCAGCAGCCGCGGUAAUACGGAGGGGGUUAGCGUUGUUCGGAAUUACUGGGCGUAAAGCGCACGUAGGCGGACCAGAAAGUUGGGGGUGAAAUCCCGGGGGCUCAACCCCGGAACUGCCUCCAAAACUAUUGGUCUAGAGUUCGAGAGAGGUGAGUGGAAUUCCAAGUGUAGAGGUGAAAUUCGUAGAUAUUUGGAGGAACACCAGUGGCGAAGGCGGCUCACUGGCUCGAUACUGACGCUGAGGUGCGAAAGUGUGGGGAGCAAACAGGAUUAGAUACCCUGGUAGUCCACACCGUAAAACGAUGAAUGCCAGUCGUCGGGUAGCAUGCUAUUCGGUGACACACCUAACGAUUAAGCAUUCCGCUGGGGAGUACGGUCGCAAGAUUAAAACUCAAAAUGAAUU